UCCGCGUGUAGGAUGACGGCCCUCNGGGUUGUAAACUACUUUUAUUUGGGAAGAAACCCUGGGAUUUAUCCCGGNCUGACGGUACCAAAAGAAUAAGCACCGGCUAAUUCCGUGCCAGCAGCCGCGGUAAU
rnacentral:rRNA from 1 species